rnacentral:lncRNA from 1 species
AGCUUAACAGCGGCCCCACUGUCGUUGUUAGGAUUCUCGAUUAUAAAAACAAAAAAUAAAUCACCUCAUUGACUGCUUUUAAGUCACGCGGAUCACCACUCAAAUAAUCCUAACUGUUAGAUUAACAUCCGAAGAAGCACACACUUCCCUUUUCUUUAUUCAAUCCAUUAAAAAAAAUCUAUCUAUCCUUCUCUUUUCAUAAUCCCUCCAUUUUAAGAUAACAAAAAAAUUCUCUUCCUCCUUCUCAAUAGUUUCCUCUUUCCUUUUCUUUCAAG